rnacentral:lncRNA from 1 species
UUUUUUCAUACUAUAAAAAUGAUCAUACCAUUUUCUAUUUCUACAUGAAAACAAAAACAAAUAUGGCAGAAAUUCUAAAGUUUGUUUGUGUUAUGAUUAUUUUUCUUUUCAUCAUGUGUACCAUUGUAACUGAUGGUAAGUCUAUAUUCUCAAAAAUAAUAAAUAAUAAUAAUCUAAAUUUCUUUUUUAUUUAUCUUAUAUACAAUGUAUCAUUUCAUAUUACUACCAUUCAUUUUUCCUAUUUGACAGGAAUUGAUUACUGUGAAACUGAUCUCGACUGUCCUAAACCUCCAAAUCUCCCAGAUGAAUUCAGAAUUUGCAGUGAUGGUGUUUGUCUAUGUAUGCAGUUCUAGAGAUUAAGUUUAAAAAUAAUAAUUUUAAGAGUAUAAUUUUUUGUAAUAAUAAUGUUGGUAUUUUUUUUAUUUUUUAUAUUUCUCUCAUUCUCUCACACUUCAAUCUUUGUUUGUCAGUUUUAGGGGUGAUCUACACAUAAAAUCUCGAUCCAAGUCUAAGAGAAGGGUACAAAAGUCUUUUUGGCACAAGGAUUUUAAACUCAACUAAAAAAUAAAAAUAAACUUGUUAUAUUUUAUGACUAUUGUUUCUAAUUCCUCCAAGAGGCCAUUGGCCCAAGUGUUGUUUAAGUAUUAUGUGUAGAUGUUGUCUCUCCCAACUCCGUGUUUCUUUUAUACCUCCCUGAAUUUCCAAUUUUGUCUUUGCAAAUAAAUUCUGGUUUAUAAAAAUCAAAAUUUACUCUAAAUUUGUACUAAAAAAAUUCGAUUUCUGCAAACCGAUGUUUUUUGUAAGGGCAAAAUUGGAAUAUUUGGAGUAUAAAAGAAUCACGGGGGGUCGGAAGAGAAAACAUUUUAUUUAUAUUUCCUCCAAGAGGCCCAUGGCCCAAUUGUUAUUAGAUCCACUAUGGAAACCCUAGCUAUAUAUAUAUAUAUAUAUAUAUAUUGUAUUGCAGCCUCACUCUUGAGGUUAUGAAUAAAGUUAUAUUUUAUGUUAUCGGUUUAAAUUUUAUGUCUUUUAGUCCU